AAACCAUCACUUCCUCGCGCCUAGCCCUUGCCUUUACCUGCUCUGUUCCCAUCUUCUCUGUUCCCUUCUCCAUCUUCGUUUUUCAUUUGUAGUUUUUCUUUACGUUUGGUUUCUUCUUAGUCUCCAUCUCCCUUAGAUCUCAAUUUCUCAGAGCUUUUUUAGAGGGUUAGGAGGUGUGGAUUCAUGUAUAUUAUCCUUUUUCGGUUCCCAGUUUCAGUGAAUCAGCGUUUCCCACCUGUGUUUUUAAUACCGCCAUUUCUUCUUAAUCUUCGCAUGAUUGAGAUCGCACUUUCGUUUUAAUCCCUCACCGAGGGCUUUAUUUCUCAUUUUUGCUAGUGACUAUUUCUUCUGAAUCUUCUUUUGGUUGCGAUUUCUAAUAGUUCUCAUAUAUUUAGGGUUUAUUUGCAACUCACACUUCGGAUAAGAAAAAAAAAAUCACAAUAAGGAAAGAAAGAAAGAACAGUAUAUAUAGGGAGGAGAAAAAAGAAUCUUCUCAUUGUUAGCUUAUUUUACACAUAAACUAGGCUUGAAUUUACUGGAUUAUCUUCUUCAAGAAUGGAUAAGAAAAAGGUGGCGGUUCCGCUUGUUUGCCACGGCCAUUCCCGUCCUGUAGUGGAUCUCUUUUACAGUCCUGUUACGCCCGAUGGAUUCUUCCUCAUCAGUGCAAGCAAGGAUUCUAGUCCUAUGCUUAGAAAUGGUGAGACUGGAGACUGGAUUGGAACAUUUGAAGGGCACAAAGGUGCGGUAUGGAGUUGCUGCUUGGAUACAAAUGCUUUACGUGCUGCAACUGCCUCUGCUGACUUUUCAUCGAAAGUUUGGGAUGCAUUAACAGGAGAUGAAUUACACUCGUUUGAACACAAGCACAUUGUUCGUGCAUGUGCUUUUUCUGAGGAUACACAUCUUUUACUCACUGGGGGAGUAGAGAAAAUUCUCCGAAUCUAUGACUUGAAUCGUCCUGAUGCAUCACCGAGAGAAGUUGAUAAGUCCCCUGGUUCGAUCAGAACUGUUACAUGGCUUCAUAGUGACCAGACAAUAUUAAGUUCUUGUACUGAUAUGGGAGGUGUCAGGUUAUGGGAUAUAAGAAGUGGCCAAAUAGUCCAGACACUUGAGACCAAGUCAUCUGUGACCAGUGCUGAAGUGAGUCAGGAUGGGCGCUACAUCGUAACUGCAGAUGGUUCUACUGUUAAAUUUUGGGACGCGAAUUACUAUGGCUUGGUUAAGAGUUAUGAUAUGCCUUGCACCAUUGAAUCAGCUUCUUUGGAACCUAAGUAUGGUAAUAAAUUUGUUGCUGGGGGAGAAGACAUGUGGGUUCGUGUUUUUGAUUUCCAUACUGGCCAUGAGAUUGCAUGCAACAAGGGCCACCAUGGUCCUGUUCACUGCCUCCGUUUCUCUCCUGGGGGAGAAUCAUAUGCCUCAGGAUCUGAGGAUGGAACCAUCAGAAUAUGGCAAACUGGGCCUUUGACCUUUGAUGGGUCGGACUCUAUAUCAGCAAAUGGAUCAGUUGCGAAGGUGAAGGUUAAUGCAGACGAGGUUUCACGCAAGAUUGAGGGUUUUCAUAUUGCAGAUGAGGAGAAAUCCAAAGAAAAGGAACAGGCGGUGGAGGAAUAGCGAUCCUGGUAAGGAUGGUCGUUUGGAACGGCAGGGUUAUCAUGCCAUAGACAAGUACCUACAUAACAGUUCCCAGUUGGCCGGAUUCAUCGGCUGUUGAAGUCCAGAACCACAGCACAUGGUAGAGUGGGAGCAACAGCUGCUGUCUACUCUGCCGCUAUUUUGGAAUAUCUAACUGCUGAAGUAUUGGAGUUGGCGGGGAAUGCAA